rnacentral:rRNA from 1 species
UACGUAGGUGGCAAGCGUUGUCCGGAAUUAUUGGGCGUAAAGCGCGCGCAGGCGGUCCUUUAAGUCUGAUGUGAAAGCCCACGGCUCAACGGGGAGAGGCCAUUGGAAACGGUCGAGCUGGAGGGCAGUAGAGGUAGGCGGAAUUCCGGGUGGAGUGGUGAAAUGCGUAGAGAUCCGGAGGAACACCAGAGGCGAAGGCGGCCUACUGGGCUGCACCUGACGCUGAGCCGCGAAAGCCAGGGGAGCGAACGGG